CGGCCCGUAGCUCAAUGGUCAGAGCCGACUCCUUAUAAGGGUCAGACGACGGUUCGACUCCGUCCGGGCCGA
rnacentral:tRNA from 1 species